rnacentral:lncRNA from 1 species
CCGGGAGAAGGCACCGCGGCGGCAGCCCUAUGGCUGUACAAUCGCCGGAAUCGAAGGGGUGACAUUUGGAUUUGGGGAUUUAGGGCUCGGAGGCGGAGAGAGAGGUGGAGACGGCAGCCCGUCGCUGCUGCUUCGUCGAAGGGAAGCUGAUGGCGGCUGGUUCAGAGGAGUGAAAGGGGGGAGGGAGGGAAGUGGUGUCAGGGGGCAGAGGUGAGUGGCGCUGGCGAGAGGGCAGAGGUGAGAGGGCGGGGGAGAUGGGAGGGCGACGCGAGUAUGGAGGGUGGAGAAGAGAGAGAGGCAAGAGAAGGGGGAGUUUAGGGCUUAGAUCUGUGCUCGACGGAUUUACAGAGGGGGAAGGGGGGAGACGGCGG